rnacentral:rRNA from 1 species
AUGGCGCUAGCCGGCGCCACCAACGCCACCUUCCGGCCCCGCCUGGUCACCGCCGCCGCUGACACCUCCGACACUAAUACUCGCCGCCGCCACUGGAAGGCCGGCGAGUUCCCAUUUCCCACCACCUCCCCCUCCUCCGGCACGCAGCAGCGCCGGAGACCCCGGACCACGGAGCGCCCGCCCCCACCUCCACCGUCCAAGGGGGAAGACCCGGAAGGGAGAGGGCGCCAGAGGCACUGGAAGGCGGGGGAAGACCCGGAGGGGAGAGGGCGGCAGAGGCACUGGAGGGCGGGGGAGUUCCCGGCGGCGGCCGAGUCCCAAUCCCAGUCCGGGAGGAGGGGCCGCGCUCGCACCCCUAUCAAGAACGUCCAGAAGAGGCUCGACGCGCGCGCCGAUGCCAAGGCCUGGGCCUGCACCGUCACCGAAGCCCUCGCCGACCGCAUCGCCGCCAAGAACUGGCGAGAGGCGCUUCAGGUCUUUGAGAUGCUGAAGGAGCAACCCUUCUACUAUCCCAAAGAGGGCACCUACAUGAAACUCCUCCUGUUGCUGGGGAGAUCAGGCCAGCCUUCUCUAGCACAGCACCUUUUCACCGAGAUGCAACAGCAAGGAUGCCGGCCAACUCCUGAGCUUUACACGGCCUUGAUCGGGGCCUACUGCCGGAAUGGCGUCCUAGACGAGGCACUCAAGCUUCUCGAAUACAUGAAAGCCGCCCCGCUGUGCCAGCCUGAUGUCUACACCUAUAGCAUCCUCAUCAAGGCCUUCGUCGACGCCUCAAGGUUCGACCUCGUCGAUGCUAUGUACAAAGAGAUGGCCGAGCGCUCCGUGGCACCAAACACGGUCACGCAGAACAUUGUUCUCAGUGGCUACUGCAGGGCAGGAAGGCUGGACGAUAUGGAGAAGCUACUCUCGGCGAUGCUUGAAAGUGCAAAUAGUAAACCGGAUGUCUGGACCAUGAACAUUAUCCUAAGCCUGUUUGGGAACAGUGGCCAGGUUGAGCUGAUGGAGAAGUGGUACGAGAAAUUCCGAGGUUAUGGGAUCGAGCCGGAGACUCGGACGUUCAACAUUCUCAUUGGUGCUUACGGGAAGAAGCGGAUGUAUGACAAGAUGUCUGCGGUGAUGGAAUACAUGCGCAGGCUAGCGUUUCCAUGGACGACAGCUACGUACAACAACGUGAUCGAGGCAUUUGCUGAGGCAGGUGAUGCAAAAAACAUGGAGGACACAUUUAACCAGAUGCGCUCAGAGGGGAUGAAGCCGGAUACAAAGACCUUCUGCUGUCUCAUAAAUGGGUUUAGCAACGCAGCCCUUUUCCACAAGGUGGUAGGCAUGGUAAAGCUUGCUGAGAGGCUCGAUGUACCGGCAAAUACAUCUUUUCACAACUCUGUUCUUGCGGCAUGUGCGAAAGCGGAGGAUCUGAUGGAAAUGGAGAGGGUCUUCAGGCACAUGAAGCAUAUGCAGUGUGAACCAGAUGCCAUCACAUACUCCAUCUUGUUGGAAGCUUAUCGGAAGGAAGGAAUGACCGACAAGAUGUACGCUCUACAACAGGAGAACCCAAGUUUGGUUUCGACUGAGCUUGCCAUGGUGUAA